ACCUGGCUGGCUCAGUUGGUAGAGCAUGAGAUUCUUGAUCUCAAAGUUGUGAGUUCAUGCCCCACAUUGGGUG
rnacentral:tRNA from 1 species